AUGGCAGAGAUUGUAAUUCUUCUAGCCAUUAAAAAGAUCGGAAUCGCCUUGGCAAGUAGAAGGGCAAACCAAGCCAAAGUUCAGUUUGGAAAGUACAAAGCACAACUACAAGAGCUACAUGGCAGUGUGGGUCGUGUUGCGAGGGAGCUUCGCAUAAUGCAUGAUGUGCUCUGUCACAUGGAUAUUCGAAACCGCAACAAUCAAGUAUAUGACGGCUGGUUGGAGGAGGUAUAG
rnacentral:rRNA from 1 species